CAACGUUACAAAUGUUUAAGCUACACAGUUGUUAUUUGUAAUAUGUCCUAUAUAAUGAUACUUUAAAUUCUGCAACUGUGUUUAUGCAGAUAAUCGUUUAAACAAAUGGUUCAAACUGCAGGCAAAAUUGUAGAGAGACAAAUGGGGACCUUCCAAACACGUGAUUUUUAAGUGCGGAAAAUGUGAUUUAAAAAGACGAGGGAAAACCGCACGCGAUCGGUGUGGUCAGCCUAUGAGACAGGAGGGGUCGGGAGACACUGUGGCCCCAUCCGACGAUACCCCCGGACAGGGCCAAACAGGCAGGAUAUAACCCCACCCACUUUGCCAAAGCACAGCCCCUACACCACUAGAGGGAUAUCUUCAACCACCAACUUACAAACCUGAGACAAGGCCGAGAAUAGCCCACAAAGAUCUCCGCCACGGCACAACCCAAGGGGGGGCUCCAACCCGGACAGGAAGAUCAUGUCAGUGACUCAACCCACUCAAGUGACUCGCCCCUCCUAGGGACGGCAUGGAAGAGCACCAGUAAGCCAGUGACUCAGCCCCUGUAAUAGGGUUAGAGGCAGAGAAUCCCAGUGGAAAGAGGAGAACCGGCCAAGCAGAGACAGCAAGGGCGGUUCGUUGCUCCUGUGCCUUUCCGUUCACCUUCACACUCCUGGGCCAGACUCAAUCAUAUGACCUACAGAAGAGAUGAGUCUUCAAUAAAGACUUAAAGGUUGAGACCGAGUCUGCGUCUCUCACAUGGGUAGGCAGACCAUUCCAUAAAAAUUGAGCUCUAUAGGAGAAAGCCCUGCAUCCAGCUGUUUGCUUAGAAAUUCUAGGGUAUAAACACCAUGGGCCCACGCAGCCAUCAUACCGCUCAGGAAGGAGACGCGUUCUGUCUCCUAGAGAUGAACGUAAUUUUGUGCGAAAAGUGCAAAUCAAUCCCAGAACAACAGCAAAGGACCUUGUGAAGGUGCUGGAGGAAACAGGUACAAAAGUGUCUAUAUCCACAGUAAAACGAGUCCUAUCUCAACAUAACCUGAAAGGCCGCUCAGCAAGGAAGAAGCCACUGCUUCAAAACCGCCAUAAAAAAGUCAGUCUACGGUUUGCAACUGCACAUAGGGACAAAGAUCGUACUUUUUGGAGAAAUGUCCUCUGGUCUGAUGAAACAAAAAUAGAACUGUUUGCCCAUAAUGACCAUCGUUAUGUUUGGAGGAAAAAGGGGGAGGCUUGCAAGCCGAAGAACACCAUCCCAACUGUGUAGCACGGGGGUGGCGGCAUCAUGUUGUGGGGUGCUUUGCUGUAGGAGGGACUGGUGCACUUCACAAAAUAGAUGGCAUCAUGAGGCAGAAAAAUGAUGUGGAUAUAUUGAAGCAACAUCUCAAGACAUCAGUCAGCAAGUUAAAGCUUGAUCGCAAAUGGGUCUGGACAAUGACCCCAAGCAUACUUCAAAAGUUGUGGCAAAAUGGCUUAAGGACAACAAAAUCAAGGUAUUGGAGUGGCCAUCACAAAGCCCUGACCUCAAUCCUAUAGAAAAUGUGUGGGCAGAACUGAAAAGGAUGUGUGAGCAAGGAAGCCAACAAACCUGUCUCAGUUACACCAGCUCUGUCAGGAGGAAUGGGCCAAAAUUCACCCAACUUACUGUGGGAAGCUUGUGGAAAACUACCUGAAACAUUUUUCCCAAGUUAAACAAUUUGAAGGCAAUGCUACCAAAUGCUAAUUGAGUGUAUGUAAACUUCUGACCCGCUGGUAAUGUGAUGAAAUAAAUAAAAGCUGAACUAGA